rnacentral:rRNA from 1 species
UACGUAGGGUGCAAGCGUUGUCCGGAAUUAUUGGGCGUAAAGAGCUCGUAGGCGGUCUGUCGCGUCGGCUGUGAAAACUCGGGGCUCAACCCCGAGCCUGCAGUCGAUACGGGCAGACUAGAGUGCUGUAGGGGAGACUGGAAUUCCUGGUGUAGCGGUGAAAUGCGCAGAUAUCAGGAGGAACACCGGUGGCGAAGGCGGGUCUCUGGGCAGUAACUGGCGCUGAGGAGCGAAAGCGUGGGGAGCGAACAGG